rnacentral:rRNA from 1 species
AACGAACGCUGGCGGCAGGCCUAACACAUGCAAGUCGAACGCCGUAGCAAUACGGAGUGGCAGACGGGUGAGUAACACGUGGGAACAUACCCUUUGGUUCGGAAUAACUCAGGGAAACUUGAGCUAAUACCGGAUAAGCGCUUAGGCGGAAAGAUUUAUCGCCGAAGGAUUGGCCCGCGUCCGAUUAGCUAGUUGGUGAGGUAACGGCUCACCAAGGCGACGAUCGGUAGCUGGUCUGAGAGGAUGAUCAGCCACAUUGGGACUGAGACACGGCCCAAACUCCUACGGGAGGCAGCAGUGGGGAAUAUUGGACAAUGGGCGCAAGCCUAAUCCAGCCAUGCCGCGUGAGUGAUGAAGGCCCUAGGGUUGUAAAGCUCUUUUGUGUGGGAAGAUAAUGACUGUACCACAAGAAUAAGCCCCGGCUAACUUCGUGCCAGCCGCCGCGGUAAGAC